rnacentral:rRNA from 1 species
CAACCCUGGUGGCGAGUGGCGAACGGGUGAGUAAUACAUCGGAACGUGUCCUGUAGUGGGGGAUAGCCCGGCGAAAGCCGGAUUAAUACCGCAUACGACCUAAGGGAGAAAGCGGGGGAUCUUCGGACCUCGCGCUAUAGGGGCGGCCGAUGGCAGAUUAGCUAGUUGGUGGGGUAAAGGCCUACCAAGGCGACGAUCUGUAGCUGGUCUGAGAGGACGACCAGCCACACUGGGACUGAGACACGGCCCAGACUCCUACGGGAGGCAGCAGUGGGGAAUUUUGGACAAUGGGGGCAACCCUGAUCCAGCAAUGCCGCGUGUGUGAAGAAGGCCUUCGGGUUGUAAAGCACUUUUGUCCGGAAAGAAAACUUCGUCCCUAAUAUGGAUGGAGGAUGACGGUACCGGAAGAAUAAGCACCGGCUAACUACGUGCCAGCAGCCGCGGUAAUACGUAGGGUGCGAGCGUUAAUCGGAAUUACUGGGCGUAAAGCGUGCGCAGGCGGUCUGUUAAGACCGAUGUGAAAUCCCCGGGCUUAACCUGGGAACUGCAUUGGUGACUGGCAGGCUUUGAGUGUGGCAGAGGGAGGUAGAAUUCCACGUGUAGCAGUGAAAUGCGUAGAGAUGUGGAGGAAUACCGAUGGCGAAGGCAGCCUCCUGGGCCAACACUGACGCUCAUGCACGAAAGCGUGGGGGAGCAAACAGGAUUAGAUACCCUGGUAGUCCACGCCCUAAACGAUGUCAACUAGUUGUUGGGGAUUCAUUUCCUUAGUAACGUAGCUAACGCGUGAAGUUGACCGCCUGGGGAGUACGGUCGCAAGAUUAAAACUCAAAGGAAUUGACGGGGACCCGCACAAGCGGUGGA